CUUGUGACACCCAAAUCCGUUUUAAAUUUACAUGAAAACGCACGCGGAAAAACCAUGAAUAUAAGUAAAUAUUUAACAAGAAAAUAGUGAAAUAAAUUUUUAUUUAAAGAAUUUUACUCAAAAUAACAUCUUUAAGGAAAAAUAAAUACAAAACAUUUGACUCGCCAUUCGACCUUCCACGCGCCUCCGGCCUUUAAAACCUGAAAAUGUUAAGUAUGGGAUGAGCAUACAGGGUACACUCAGUGUGGGAACAUGCAAUCAUUGUCCACGUUAAUAAAAUGAGAAUCACAUAUGAUCAAUACAUUCGUGACUGAAAGUCGCACGGUGGCAUACCAAGGACCUUUCCGUCCUGGACCGAUUGAGCCGGCCCCUGGCGACUGGUUGCAACCAUAACUUUAACAUGAAAUCGCAUUGUGGCAUACCAAGGACGGUGAAGUCCUGGACCCAUUGAGCUGGCCCCUAGCGAUAUAAUUUAAUGCAACUCACAUAUGGUAAACACAUAAUAUUAAAAUGGACAAAGAUUAACCACAGCAUGUACUGAAAUAAAUCUCACACCUGAAACUUUGAACUUGAAGGUAAACUUUGAGUAAUUCAAUCAAAAGUAACGUCCUAGUCGCGCCGCACCUAGUCAGAUAAAUUCAAAUAAUAACAUAUAAGGGCCUAAUUAAACUUUAAAAAUAAUAGUAAUAGUAGUAGUUUAAAUCUUAAGAAUUUAUUAUCAUAAAAUCAUUUGAAAAAUAAUCAUCGGUUUAAUGAAUCAAAUAAUAAAAUGCAUGCUUCUUUAAAAUUUGAGUUUUAAUAAAAUCAUAUCCAACUGCUUAAAUAAAUUGAAGCCCAAGAUUAUAGUUAAUCUAAAGCCCAAGCCCACUUACUCUUCCUAAUUAAAACCUCAUUUAACUUCCACACCCAUCACAAACACACACAACUCACGCUUCUCACUUGCUCUCACUCUCAGUCGUUCUCUCUCCUCCCUCUCUUCCUUCCUCGGUCUUCCUCCUGCCACCGCCACCAGACGGCAACGCCGCCGCCGGAGCCGGCGGCCCUGCCUCCCCUUCUCUCCUUUCCUCGACCUCUCUCCCUCUCCUCUUCUCUCUUCUCACACCCAACGCACACACCCAGCGCCAUCGCGCGCCCCCUCCUCCGGCGAAAACUCCACCAGCCACCGCCACAACCACGCUUCUCCCCUGUCGCUCGCCCGGCUAGCAGCAACGCCGCCAUCGCCGCCCCCGGCGUCGACAGCAGCACAGCCCAGCCGACGCCCCUCCUUUUCCAGAUCUAGCACCGACCAUCCACCUCCUCCCUUUGUCCGAUCGGAACAGCACAACAGCGGCCGAGGCCACCGCACCACCGUCCCUGUCUCUUCCUGUCAGCCGCCGUGGCGCGCAGCGCCGGCGCCGCUGUUCAAUCGCUCCCCCUGUCCCAGGCCACAAAAUCCCUUUCUAGUUCCUUCUUCUAUUCUAUUCCUUUUUCUAUGUAAUUAACAAGAUUCAUUCUAUUAUGCAUAUGCUGUGAAUUUGAUUUGAAAACAAGAAUUUGUAGAAACUGUGUAUUGGAUUUAAAAACAAGGUUUUAUUUCUGCAGAAAAUAAAAUAUUUGAUACUGAAUAAAUUACAUAACUUUACAAAAUAAUUAAAGUUACCAGUGGAUGAGUGAUGUAAAUCAGUUGCUGUGAAUUG
rnacentral:lncRNA from 1 species